AUUGAACGCUGGCGGCAGGCUUAACACAUGCAAGUCGAGCGGGGGAAGGUAGCUUGCUACCGGACCUAGCGGCGGACGGGUGAGUAAUGCUUAGGAAUCUGCCUAUUAGUGGGGGACAACAUCUCGAAAGGGAUGCUAAUACCGCAUACGUCCUACGGGAGAAAGCGGGGGAUCUUCGGACCUUGCGCUAAUAGAUGAGCCUAAGUCGGAUUAGCUAGUUGGUGGGGUAAAGGCCUACCAAGGCGACGAUCUGUAGCGGGUCUGAGAGGAUGAUCCGCCACACUGGGACUGAGACACGGCCCAGACUCCGACGGGAGGCAGCAGUGGGGAAUAUUGGACAAUGGGGGGAACCCUGAUCCAGCCAUGCCGCGUGUGUGAAGAAGGCCUUAUGGUUGUAAAGCACUUUAAGCGAGGAGGAGGCUACUCUAGUUAAUACCUAGGGAUAGUGGACGUUGCUCGCAGAAUAAGCACCGGCUAACUCUGUGCCAGCCGCCGCCGUAA
rnacentral:rRNA from 1 species